rnacentral:lncRNA from 13 species
AUGACUAUGAAGGAACUCCAGCCUCAUCUGACCUCCAAAUGGACCCCAACUGCCCCUGCGCAGUUUCGGGGCUUAGCGUCUUCAUUUUCGUACUACAGAAUAGAAGGUCCCUGGGGCAGGAGGCAGGUGCAUUUUGAGCUCUACCUAAAAUGGACUCCUUUGCUUUGCACUUCUCGAGCUUUCUCCCUGCCAAGCACCUUCAUCACUACUCAGAAGACCGCCAUCUUCUCACUGCCUCCCAUUUCUGAGGUGGCUCCUGCACCUGUGGCAGCUCCUGCAAAUGCAGAGGGCACAUGCACCUCCUGUAAGAAGGGCUGCUGCUCCUGCUGCUCUGUGGGCUGUGCCAACUGUGCCCAGGGCUGGGUAUGCAAAGGGGUAUCGGAGAGGUCCAGCUGCUAUGCCUGAUAUCAGAUGUAAAUAACACAACCCUUACAAACCUAGAGGUUUUUUUAAAUACAAGCAUAACCCAUUUACUGUGUCUGUUUUCUCAAGUGAAACAUGGGAAUGACAAUAAACAGUGUUGGCCUUAUUCUGCCUCA